UCUUAAGCGUAUUACGUUUAUGGAAAGCACGUACUAUUUUAUCACUGAGGGAAGAGAUAAAAACUUAAUCGUUUUACAGACUUGCACAUAUCUGUAACCGUACUUUUAGAUGCGAGGAAGGGAGUUAACUCCAAUGUUUAAUUAAGUGUGUUUUAUGAUAUGUAAAUCAAAGAAGUUAGAUAAGCCUCAGUGUUUGCAGAUUAUAAAAGCAUAAGUAAUAAAAAGCUUAACUUCGAAUAACAUUCGAGAUAUACCACUCAUAUAUUUUUUUCUUUUUUAAGAUUUAUUUUGAUCUCACUUUAAAUACUGAAGACUGUUCUUUCGUUACUCUUAAAUUAUGCAACAAUUAAGUGCUCAUAACACUGCGAAGCGCUUUCUGACGCAUAAUAUAGCUUUUUACUAAAAACUAGAUGAAGUGGCCAAUAGCAACUCAACAAUAAAGUACUCUUGUCUAAUCACAUGAUUUAAAUCAGAUUUAAUUGGAUGCCUGUAAGAGACAGCAUGCGUGGAACCUGAUUAGCUUCUGAAUCGAUUUGAAGGGUAGCGAACCUUACAGAAUACAGUAAAGUACAGUUAUGAAACAUACAGAAUGCGUAGCACCAUAAAGAAUUAUUUAACUUCAAUGACAAUCACAAUGGUAUUUUGUUCAUGGCUUGAGGACAGCAAUUGUUAAGAGACAUCAUGAUAUCCACAAAACGACAACAGUUCCGACUGAAAACUCAGUUUAACGAUAUUUACAAAAUACUAUGUCAUAUCACAACAUUUAAAAAGAAAGUUACAAAAUUGGAACACCAAUGAUAUUCGAAUAACAAUGUAUUAGUAGUUAAUUUUUCAA